UUAUAAGAGACAGCAGUCGCCGCGGUAAUACGGAGGGUGCAAGCGUUAUCCGGAUUUAUUGGGUUUAAAGGGUCCGUAGGCGGACUUAUAAGUCAGUGGUGAAAGCCUGUCGCUUAACGAUAGAACUGCCAUUGAUACUGUAAGUCUUGAGUAUAUUUGAGGUAGCUGGAAUAAGUAGUGUAGCGGUGAAAUGCAUAGAUAUUACUUAGAACACCAAUUGCGAAGGCAGGUUACCAAGAUAUAACUGACGCUGAGGGACGAAAGCGUGGGUAGCGAACAGGAUUAGAUACCCCCGUAGUCCCUGUCUCUUAUAC
rnacentral:rRNA from 1 species